rnacentral:rRNA from 1 species
GAUUGAACGCUGGCGGCAUGCCUUACACAUGCAAGUCGAACGGCAGCACGGGUGCUUGCACCUGGUGGCGAGUGGCGAACGGGUGAGUAAUACAUCGGAACGUGUCCUGUAGUGGGGGAUAGCCCGGCGAAAGCCGGAUUAAUACCGCAUACGAUCUACGGAUGAAAGCGGGGGAUCUUCGGACCUCGCGCUAUAGGGGCGGCCGAUGGCGGAUUAGCUAGUUGGUGGGGUAAAGGCCCACCAAGGCGACGAUCCGUAGCUGGUCUGAGAGGACGACCAGCCACACUGGGACUGAGACACGGCCCAGACUCCUACGGGAGGCAGCAGUGGGGAAUUUUGGACAAUGGGGGAAACCCUGAUCCAGCAAUGCCGCGUGUGUGAAGAAGGCCUUCGGGUUGUAAAGCACUUUUGUCCGGAAAGAAAUCCUGAUGGCUAAUAUCCGUCGGGGAUGACGGUACCGGAAGAAUAAGCACCGGCUAACUACGUGCCAGCAGCCGCGGUAAUACGUAGGGUGCAAGCGUUAAUCGGAAUUACUGGGCGUAAAGCGUGCGCAGGCGGUGAUGUAAGACCGAUGUGAAAUCCCCGGGCUCAACCUGGGAACUGCAUUGGUGACUGCAUCGCUGGAGUAUGGCAGAGGGGGGUAGAAUUCCACGUGUAGCAGUGAAAUGCGUAGAGAUGUGGAGGAAUACCGAUGGCGAAGGCAGCCCCCUGGGCCAAUACUGACGCUCAUGCACGAAAGCGUGGGGAGCAAACAGGAUUAGAUACCCUGGUAGUCCACGCCCUAAACGAUGUCAACUGGUUGUUGGGGAUUCAUUUCCUUAGUAACGUAGCUAACGCGUGAAGU